rnacentral:rRNA from 1 species
GCAGCAGUAGGGAAUCUUCCGCAAUGGACGAAAGUCUGACGGAGCAACGCCGCGUGAGUGAUGAAGGUUUUCGGAUCGUAAAACUCUGUUGUUAGGGAAGAACAAGUACCGUUCGAAUAGGGCGGUACCUUGACGGUACCUAACCAGAAAGCCACGGCUAACUACGUGCCAGCAGCCGCGGUAAUACGUAGGUGGCAAGCGUUGUCCGGAAUUAUUGGGCGUAAAGCGCGCGCAGGCGGUUUCUUAAGUCUGAUGUGAAAGCCCCCGGCUCAACCGGGGAGGGUCAUUGGAAACUGGGGAACUUGAGUGCAGAAGAGGAGAGUGGAAUUCCACGUGUAGCGGUGAAAUGCGUAGAGAUGUGGAGGAACACCAGUGGCGAAGGCGACUCUCUGGUCUGUAACUGACGCUGAGGCGCGAAAGCGUGGGGAGCGAACAGGAUUAGAUACCCUGGUAGUCCACGCCGUAAACGAUGAGUGCUAAGUGUUAGAGGGUUUCCGCCCUUUAGUGCUGCAGCAAACGCAUUAAGCACUCCGCCUGGGGAGUACGGUCGCAAGACUGAAACUCAAAGGAAUUGACGGGGGCCCGCACAAGCGGUGGAGCAUGUGGUUUAAUUCAAAGCAACGCGANGAACCUUACCAGGUCUUGACAUCCUCUGACAACCCUAGAGAUAGGGCUUCCCCUUCGGGGGCAGAGUGACAGGUGGUGCAUGGUUGUCGUCAGCUCGUGUCGUGAGAUGUUGGGUUAAGUCCCGCAACGAGCGCAACCCUUGA